AUUAGAUAAAGCAGGAAUGUAAUAAUCACUCGGCUGCAUUCAGCUUUUGUACUUUUAUUCACAGUAUUCAGCAUAUCUAAUAAAAGCAAUUGGGAUCAGUUACAAAUUUGUAAAAAGCAUAAUCAAUUCAAUAAAAAAAAACUCACCGUCCAUCCCUCUGAGCAGCUCACCAUCUGUAUUGUUUUUACAAAAAUACCUAGUUUUUCCAGUCCCUGAUCAGCACCAACUCCCAUUCCAAUGAUACUGAUGCCCAGACCCCUGUCACCUAAGGGAUUAAAAAAUCUAACAUUAGUUGCAUGACACAUAGUGUAACAGUUAGCAGUACUGAGUUGUUUCAAAGCAUUUCAAGUCCUUCCACAGAAAAAAACCCAGAAAACCCCUGAAAAAAGACACAUAUUUUAUAUUUAGAUAGUACUAAAGCGUUUUUGUUCUUAACUUCAAUUCAGUAUGACAAUUUGCACUUAGCAGAGGCCUGUCCAGUUAACAUUCACCAAAUUCAACAGAACUAGCCACACAAUUAAAGCCUAGACAAACAUUCAAAAAUUCAAGAGCUAAGUUCUGGGAAUAUAGUUUUAAAUGGUUUUAUCUUUUGUUCACAUAGUAUCUAUUGCAAAUGUUCAAGGUUUGAUUUGCACCUUUUUCAAUUUCCACAGGAAACACUUCCAUCUUUUCCACCCUUUUCUCAAGUCAUACUCAGCUGAGGCUGCCACAGGGUCACUUCUUCAUUACGUCUAUCAUAGUCUUCAUUUGAGCACUGAGUGUUUUAUUCAACAUCACUGUAAGACAAAAAACAGUUACGGAUUGCAGCUGCAGCAGCCAUCUCCCUAAUCAAGAACAUGCAGUGCUGACACAAAGUUCAUUUACACUGGCCUACUAAAUUUCUGCAAUUUUUGUAUUUUGCCACUAAGACUACGUAGACAGGUAACUGCAAUCAUACGUUCAAAGAAGAAGUUGAGAGAAGAUCCAUGAUCUCCAUCUGUGAUCUGGUUGUACUCCUCCACCAUCUCCUCCACCAGUUGAGGUGGCAUUGCUCUCUGACUGACAAAGAGACUGAAAGACUUCAAAAUAAAUAGGAUAUGAUCAAAAUACUACUCAUAAUCAAAUCAAAGAACUACUCACAAUACCACAUAAAAGGGGGUACCCUCAAAACAUCUUGGCUCCUUGACUUUGCUUAUAAAGAGAGUGAUUCAAUUAUGAACAUCCAUAAUUCUUGGUACCCAUCAGUUUACACCUGGUAAUCCACAUAGAUAUGUGUAUUUAUUUAGUAUUCAGCGAAACAGAAAUCUUGACCUGACCAAAUUUAAACAGCAAGCAAACCGGUAUGGGGAACUUCAAAAGAAUAACAACUAACACAAAAAUAGUGUCCAUCUCACUGUUUUCUAAAGACCAUAAGAAGAAACAACAACAAAAUAACCCUGUUACACCAAAUCAACUCAAUUAACUAAUCUGUAUUAAUACUGUCAUUAGCAAUGAUCAAUACCCCAGAUUUGAAAAGGGUCAUCUCACUAUGCCAAGUCACAUCAGGGGGUGAUAGAAGAAAAUGAUGGAGAAAGAAAUGUAAAGAAUUUGCCAUGUUGCAUAAUACUUUCCUACUCAAUAAAAAUAUAAGAACCCUGUAAAAAUUCUGCAACACUGCACCUUUAUCUUAAGGUUACAAAAUGUGUACUCAGCUAACAGAGGCACACAUCUUUUUACUGAUGCCCCUCU